rnacentral:rRNA from 1 species
AGAGUUGAUCAUGGCUCAGGAUGAACGCUAGCUACAGGCUUAACACAUGCAAGUCGAGGGGCAGCGAGAGUGUAGCAAGUACACUGUCGGCGACCGGCGCACGGGUGAGUAACGCGUAUCCAACCUGGCCAUAGUAGGGGAUAGCCCGGCGAAAGUCGGAUUAAUACCCUAUGUCUUUACAGCGGACAUCUGACGUAAAGCAAAGAUUGAUCGCUAUGGGAUGGGGAUGCGUCCGAUUAGCUUGCCGGCGGGGUAACGGCCCACCGGGCUACGAUCGGUAGGGGUUCUGAGAGGAAGGUCCCCACAUUGGUACUGAGACACGGACCAAACUCCUACGGGAGGCAGCAGUGAGGAAUAUUGGUCAAUGGGCGUGAGCCUGAACCAGCCCAAGUAGCGUGCAGGAAGACGGCCCUACGGGUUGUAAACUGCUUUUGCCGGGGAAUAAAGUGCGGGACGUGUCCCGUUUUGUAUGUACCCGGAGAAUAAGGACCGGCUAAUUCCGUGCCAGCAGCGGC